AUGGCCAAUAGUUGUUACGCUUUUAUGUCGGCCACGCCCUCUAGGUCCCGCCCCAUUGGGGCCCCGAAGUCUCUAAGUUGCGGUUUCUACAGGAACGUGGAUUUUUGUUUGUUUAAAUGCAGGGCUUUAUAUCCCGCAGAAGGCCCUCAGGAUAGGACCUGGAGGAUAGAUCCCCAGGGUAUGUCCCCGUUCAAUGCCUCAGGUUCUUUGCCAUGUUCCCCAUCGGGCCUCCAGGCGGCGCCACGACCACAUAACAGCCUUUCUUGCCAGGCUCAGUUCAGUUCAGUCGCUCAGUCAUGUCCGACUCUUUGCGACCCCAUGAAUUGCAGCACGCCAGGCCUCCCUGUCCAUCAGCAACUCCCAGAGUUCACUCAAACUCACGUCCAUCGAGUCGGUGAUGCCAUCCAGCCAUCUCAUCCUCUGUCGUCCCCUUCUCCUCCUGCGCCCAAUCCCUCCCAGCAUCAGAGUCUUUUCCAAUGAGUCAACUCUUCGCAUGAGGUGGCCAAAGUACUGGAGUUGCAGCUUUAGCAUCAUUCCUUCCAAAGAACACCCAGGGCUGAUCUCCUUCAGAAUGGACUGGUUGGAUCUCCUUGCAGUCCAAGGGACUCUCAAGAGUCUUCUCCAACACCACAGUUCAAAAGCAUCAGUUCUUCAGCGCUCAGCUUUCUUCACAGUCCAACUCUCACAUGACAUACAUGACUACUGGAAAAACCAUAGCCUUGACUAGACGGACCUUGCCAGGCUAGACCUGAGCAUUUGGCUGCCAGCGUGAUUUGGACCGAGUUCAGUGGCUAAGAACGUGUUUUCAGAGACAAAUUCAGUGUACUCAUCUGGAAGAUGGGGAGGUGGUAAGAUUUGAUGAAAUGAUUGAGGCAAAGCAUGUCAUGCGUGAAACAUGCAGAGCAUUAUUAUAUUAUUAUUAUUAAUUGAAGGUAAGUUUUGUCAUCAAAUCAAGACAAGAACCAAGGCAGGGAAAGGGGUGGGCACUGGAGGACCUGAAUGCUGUGCUAAAGAUGUAAGACAUUGUUUCUUUUCUUUUUUAAAUUUUCAUCUGAUAUAUGACAUAUGGAUAUUUUUGUGAAGUAUUAAUGAAAAUUUACAAUGUUAUAUUUCAUUGUGUACUCUACUCUUGUAAGAACUGUGAAUGUGUGUUUUAAACUUCACACACUUUGCAAUUUCAAAAGGUCUUUUAAAUCCUUUAUUUUGUACAGUCUUGUUUAUUCACUUUAUGUUUGCAUAAUUCACACACCUAGUAAAGAAAAUUUCAAAAACUGCACAAAGAAAACUAGAGUGAAUGAAAAAAUCUGUCUCCUCCAACCUCUGUUCCCUGCUGGGCCCGCCCCACACCCCUUUCCCUUCCCAGAAUCCACCGCCACAACCAGCUGUGUCUCUUCUCUGAGAACCAGUUUAUUAUUUUAC
rnacentral:lncRNA from 1 species